CUUUUCUUUUUUCACUUCUCGCUUUCCCUUUUUCAUAGGCUAAUAGGCUCCAUAAUCUCCACCGCAAUCGAACACGCGUUCUCCUUCUUCUUCGCCGUCUCCAUCUCCACCGGCUAUUCCUCCUGCCGCGUCAACCCCGUCGUCAGCCUUGGCGCCUUCAACAGCAGCAACAUCACAAUCCAGCGCUGUGUCUUCUACUGGUUCACCCAGCUGCUCGCCUCCGUCGUCGCCUGCGCAGUCCUCAUGAUCGCUACCACUUGACAGUUUUCACAGAUGGUUCAUAUGGAUGGGCGUACUGGUAGUGAUGGUAAUGUCGGUAGAGGUCGAGUUACAGGCCGUGGUGGCAGAGGAGGUAGGACGACAUCAUCUACCCCCUCUGGUAGAGGUCGUACAGCUUCCUCAUCCCUCCCUCCACUUUGGAUAGGAUCAUCACCAUCUACCACCGACUCUGUUAUGGGAAGUGCAGGUAUUCCUCACACUCUCACUGACCCGAUGGGGCCAACACAACAGGCUGCAUCCCCUGCAAGCGAGGUAGGAGAUGCUGCUUCGGCACUUCAACCAGAGUGGGGGAGGUGUGAUCCACAGACUAAACGUAUAUGGGUUCGUCCUUUAGGCACCACAAAGUUCGAACCUUAUGAUGAGAUCAUGGAAUUCAUUAAUAAUCAAAUAUUCCGUAAUUUUAAACAUGUAUGGAGCACCUGGAAAGACUUUCCUAAAGAAACUCGUCUUGGUUGGUUGAAUGAAUUCCUGAUAAGUUAUGUAUAUCUCGUUAAUGCUAAUGUUUUAUUACAAAAAUGUAUACUAACUACACAUUUGUCACCAAUUUGUGCGCUAAUCGAAAAAAUUGACAAUUUACAGAAUCAUUAUAGGUGGUUGCCCGAGGAUCGCCAUAACCUGGCAAGAGCUUGGCAUCACAGAGCCAUCACAAUGUUCGCAUAUAAAAUGCAUAAAGUAAGAUUUGACAUCGGCAAAAAUGCAUGGUGUAGUGAAUCAUUAAAAAUCCAAUUGAAAGAAAAUGGAAAAACUGUCCUUAAGUUUCAAAAGAGAUCUGCUCAAAAUAAGGAAAAUAGGGCCAAGUAGGACACACCCACAUAUGCUGGAGGGUCGAUUCCAAUCAGCAAGCAUAGACAAAAGAUAGAGGCUUCUGGAGAAGUGCCGCUUGAAAAGGUUGAUUGGGCUAUCUUCGAGCGAACUCAUUCCCAGCAGCCUGAAGCUGGUCAAAGGCGGUGGUUAGGCCCCAGAGCGGAGCUAAUAGCGGAAAAUUAUCAAAAACUUGAAGAGGAGAGGUCCGCACAGGCGACGACAGACGGUCAAUCCAGCUCCUCCUAUUCCGAUAAUGGGAACAUGUUGGUUACAGCUGCAGGUGGAUUCAACAAGAAAGGAAGGGUGGUCGGGCUGGGAGGAUAUGCUAGCCGGCUGAAGCCUAGUAAGCGGCCCUCUACCCAGGUUGACAGUGUUUCUGAAGAUGAGCUUAAAAGGAUGAGGGUGUCCCACUCCCAGAUUCAGGAGCAAUUGCAUGCUGCGACAGAGCAGCUAACUCAGCAAGCGAACUUUAUGAAGCAACAAGCUAACAUUAUGAAAAAAAUGCAGGAACAACUCCGACUUUUAAUGCAGGACAAGGAAGCCAACUGCAACAAGUCGAAGGGACCGGCGCAGGGUGAUGACCCUGAUGAAGAUGAUGACUUUGCUAGGACUUUAGAGGCAUACUAGUUGUUGUUUGUAUGUUUUACUUCUUUUAGGACUUCAGAGAUAUAUCAGAUAUUUUUUGUAUGUUUUAUUUUGUUUAGAACUUUAGAGACAUUUCAGUUGUAGAGUUGAUGGUUGUUGUUGUUCACUUUUGUUGAUAUACUAUUUAAUUUUAAUUUAAUUGUUUAUCCAGUA